AGCAGUCGCCACGGUAAUACAGAGGGUGCGAGCGUUAAUCGGAUUUACUGGGCGUAAAGCGUGCGUAGGCGGCUUUUUAAGUCGGAUGUGAAAUCCCUGAGCUUAACUUAGGAAUUGCAUUCGAUACUGGGAAGCUAGAGUAUGGGAGAGGAUGGUAGAAUUCCAGGUGUAGCGGUGAAAUGCGUAGAGAUCUGGAGGAAUACCGAUGGCGAAGGCAGCCAUCUGGCCUAAUACUGACGCUGAGGUACGAAAGCAUGGGGAGCAAACAGGAUUAGAUACCCGGGUAGUCCCUGUCUCUUAUAC
rnacentral:rRNA from 1 species